GUGGGGAAUAUUGGACAAUGGGCGCAAGCCUGAUCCAGCCAUGCCGCGUGAACGAUGAAGGCCUUCGGGUUGUAAAGUUCUUUAGCCGAUGAUUAUAAUGACUGUAGUCGGAAAAUAAGCCCCGGCUAACUUCGUGCCAGCAGCCGCGAUAAUACGAAGGGGGCGAGCGUUAUUCGGAAUCACUGGGCGUAAAGCGUGCGUAGGCGGUCUCGUAAGUUAGGAGUGAAAGCCCAGGGCUCAACCUUGGAAUUGCUCUUAAUACUGCAAGGCUAGAAUCUCGGAGAGGAUAGCGGAAUUUCCAGUGUAGCAGUGAAAUGCGUAGAUAUUGGAAGGAACACCAGUGGCGUAAGCGGCUAUCUGGACGAGUAUUGACGCUGAGGCACGAAAGCGUGGGGAUCAAACAGGAUUAGAAACCCUUGUAGUCC
rnacentral:rRNA from 1 species